AACCAAAACCAAAAAUGGAACUGGAAUUCCGUAGUCCGAAGAUUUUAACCUGAAUGGAAAAGACAAUAUGAGGGUGAUGAAAGACCCUAGACGGUCCGCCUUGGCAUCUGCUCAAUGAAGGCGAACCGCAGAAAUGUGAACUCCUCCUGCUUCUGCUAUUCGUAGGAAGAGGCAGACUUGAAACCCUGCAGUUGUCUGUGGCCUAAACAAUGAUCAACUUGCGAAAUACGGGUUUUUUUUUUUUAUUUGCCUAAGCAGAGAAACACUAAUGGUGCGUUCCUUCAAUUAAAGAGAAAAAAAUAGAUCUACCAAUACUACUGCAUUUGUUCAUUGAUAAAUUCAUUCAUUC
rnacentral:lncRNA from 1 species